rfam:Butyricicoccus pullicaecorum 1.2 genomic scaffold acBRa-supercont1.1, whole genome shotgun sequence.
UGCAUAUCGAUAGCGCCAGAACUGCGGAGCAGCCCGUUUCGCAGUGGACGAGGUAAGGGUUGAUCGAAAAUUCGGCGGAUGACCCUUCGGCCGCGAGUGAGCCGGUCGUUAGCAGGACGUGUAAACCCCGGGAGUGAUCCCGGAAACAGAGCGUCUUCGCAUGACCCA